rnacentral:lncRNA from 1 species
GAAGGCAGGUAGAUCAAUGCAAAGGCGGGAUCACUGGAGUCCGUCUACAUCUACCUGUGGGUAUAGAGACCACUGGUGUAGUGCCUCAGACUUUUAAUGCUCCAAUAAGACUAUUCCAUGGAAGAGAUGUGUGGCAGAUGCCUCUGUGAGAUAUAAUAUUACUGGACUUGAUACUUAUGUUUUAGACGGGUUUGAAAAUUCUUGUCAUCCCAAGAGAAAUGUCAUUGCAUGUGUCAUGCACUCUUAUGUAUUGCUUGUAAGAAAUAUUAGUGGUCAGAAAGGUUAUGAUUAUUAUAGUGUAAUUUGCUUUAAUUGUCAAAUAAGCAGUUGUGUCACCCGAACAGAAAAUCAGAUAAUGGUUCUGCGAAUGUGUUCUUAGAUUUGGAUAUUAUAGAUCCCCCAAAUGCAGAACCCCUGGAAUUUGAUGCAACCCAGGCUGCACAGGAUUUUAUCAAACAAAUUAGAAAAGUUCUGCCAUCUACAUCUGCAUUUAUGUGGUAACUCAUUUCCAUAGUAAUUAUUGGAGGAGGGCUGCCUCUUAGAUGCAUGAUCCUACCGGUUCUACUGCAGAUGUUUGUGCAUUCUUUAAUGUGGAUGGCUGGAAGUAUUCAUGGUCUAUAAUCACAUGCUACACCGCCUAAACCCAUGGUGUAAUUCCCUGCAGAGGCUGGUAGUCAAUGACGGGUAAGAGGAGUAUAGGAAAUCACCAACCUAAGACAAAGCAAGAGUACUGUGAUGCUCUUGACUCCAUGACAGGUACUGUUCGACAAGUGACAGCUGGCUCCAUCAAUGCUCCUAGUUACCCAGUGCCUCUAACUCAGCCCCAUCUCCUAACAGCAUGCAGCAAUGAGCUCAUCAACAGAUUAACACCGCAAUGAGUAUACCAUUCCAUCAUCCAGUCACCUUUCAAAACCCUGACCUCUGAACACAAGACUUCUGGGGGACAUUUCAGAUCUAACCCAUAACAAUAUAUAUGUUGUAUUAUAUUUUUCCUCAUUAAGACAAUGAGGUCUUGUAGGUAGGACCAGUUUUCAUAUUUGUGUAUGAUUUAUACAUUGCUAGGUACACAGUUGUUUCAAUAAAGGAUGACUGAUGGAUUGACUUAUCUAUCCUUUCAUAAAGUCUCAAUAUACAUUCAUCUUUAAAAUGUGUAGGUGCUCAAAACCUGAAAUACAUGGCUAUGAAAUUUUACUUUGAUGAUCAUAAGAAAAUGCACACAAUAAAAUCACCUAAUUAUCUGGUAAAGCAACCUUAUGUUGUCAUUUAUUAAAUACAUCAAAGUGAAACUUAAAAUACAAAAAAACCCCUAAGGUUUACUUCUUUAUAUAGUGCAUGGCUUACAAAAAAGAAAAGUUAUAAAAGAAAACUAAAGGCUAAACUUGGGCCUAGGCCAAGGCUCUACCUACAAGUUAGGAUAAAGAAAAUAUCUUCUGGUGCCAACUUUCUUUCUGUCUUGCCUAUAUUGUGGAUGUAUUCAAUUUUAACUACAAUGUGCUGACUUACUCAAAACAGUUUUGCAUUAAGGAUUCUACCUUAAGAAGUUCGUGUCUAGUAAGCUGUGUCUUUUUAUCAAACUGAGAAUAUCUUACCAAUAAAUAUGUAAUUUAUUGAGCAAUUAAUUACUAGGGUAUUUUUUUACAAAAAUUACCUUUACAUGAUGGUUUCAUAAGGGAAAGGAAUAUGAGAAAAGGAAAAGAUGAAAACAAAGUCUUUGUAAAUAGGAAGGACUGGAGGGG